rnacentral:rRNA from 1 species
UAACGCGUGGUCAACCUUCCCGAUAGUGGGGGAUAACUAGCCGAAAGGUUAGCUAAUACCGCAUACGAUCGUCGAGAGACAUCUCUUGCCGAUGAAAGGAGCAAUCCGCUUUCGGACGGGACCGCGUCCCAUUAGCUAGAUGGUGGGGUAAUGGCCUACCAUGGCGACGAUGGGUAGCUGGUUUGAGAGAGCGACCAGCCACACUGGGACUGAGAAACGGCCCAG